rnacentral:rRNA from 1 species
AUUGAACGCUGGCGGCAUGCCUUACACAUGCAAGUCGAACGGCAGCACGGGUGCUUGCACCUGGUGGCGAGUGGCGAACGGGUGAGUAAUACAUCGGAACAUGUCCUGUAGUGGGGGAUAGCCCGGCGAAAGCUGGAUUCAUACCGCAUACGAUCUUCGGAUGAAAGCGGGGGUCCUUCGGGCCUCGCGCUAUAUGGUUGGGCGAUGGCUGAUUAGCUAGUUGGUGGGGUAAAGGCCUAACAAGGCGACGAUCAGUAGCUGGUCUGAGAGGACGACCAGCCACACUAGGACUGAAACGCGGCCCAGACUACUACGGGAGGCAGCAGUGGGGAAUUUUGGACAGUGGGCGAGAGCCUGGUCCAACAAUGCCGCGUGUGUGAAAAAGGCCUUCGGGUUGUGAAGCACUUUUGUCCGGAAAGAAAUCCUUGGCCCUAAUACGGUCGGGGGAUGACGGUACCGGAAGAAUAAGCACCGGCUAACUACGUG